ensembl:miRNA
AGGUGGGAGGAUUGCUUGAGCUCAGGAGGUUUAGGCUGCAGGGACCUGUGAUCAUACCACUGCACUCCAGCCUGAAUGACAGAGCAAGACCUUGUCUC